rnacentral:rRNA from 1 species
UGGGGAAUCUUGCACAAUGGGCGGAAGCCUGAUGCAGCGACGCCGCGUGGGGGAUGACGGCCUUCGGGUUGUAAACUCCUUUCGCCAGGGACGAAGCCGUGAGGUGACGGUACCUGGAUAAGAAGCACCGGCUAACUACGUGCCAGCAGCCGCGGUAAUACGUUGGGUGCGAGCGUUGUCCGGAAUUACUGGGCGUAAAGAGCUCGUAGGUGGUUUGUCGCGUCGUCUGUGAAAUUCCGGGGCUUAACUCCGGGCGUGCAGGCGAUACGGGCAUAACUUGAGUGCUGUAGGGGAGACUGGAAUUCCUGGUGUAGCGGUGAAAUGCGCAGAUAUCAGGAGGAACACCGAUGGCGAAGGCAGGUCUCUGGGCAGUAACUGACGAUGAGGAGCGAAAGCAUGGGUAGCGAACAGG